UCGUUGAGUCUAGCAGUCGCUUCUUCUCCAAGUUUUAACCAAACUAUAGUUGCUGCUGCUGUUGCUGUUGCGAAUGGCACUCUCCAGAGCCAGGGAUUGCCUUGAAUUUUCUCCUUAGGUGAGAAAGCUUCAUCAUAGAAUUCUACCGGUGUUUUGGGAGAAGAAGCAUUCGAGGAAACUUCAUCCACCAAACUAGUGUUUGUUGCUUCUGGAAGUGCAGGGGUUGAUGGAGACCAAUACUCAUCGUUGCACCUUUGAUUAACUGUUGCUUUGGCUUGUUUCAUAGUUUCUGCAGCAGCUCUGAGCUUCUUAAUGUCGGGUUCAAUUAGCCUUCUCCUAACUGGUACCAAAGCCUGGACAGCUUCUGCA
rnacentral:lncRNA from 1 species